CCUACGGGAUGCAGCAGUGAGGAAUAUUGGUCAAUGGUCGGGAGACUGAACCAGCCAAGCCGCGUGCGGGAGGACGGUUCUGUGUGUUGUAAACUGCUUUUGUCAGAGGAUAAAGCUGGGUACGUGUCUUCGGCUGAAUGUACCUUACGAAUAAGGAUCGGCUAACUCCGUGCCAGCAGCCGCGGUAAUCCGGAGGAUCCAAGCGUUAUCCGGAUUUAUUGGGUUUAAAGGUGGCGUAGGCGGCCUUUUAAGUCAGCGGGGAAAGUCUGUGGAUCAACCCUGGAAUUGCCGUUGAACCUGGGGGGCUGGAGUAGGUGUGAGGCAGGCGGAAUGCGUGGGGUAGCGGUGAAAUGCAUAGAUAUCGCGCAGAACCCCGAUUGCGAAGGCAGCAUGCCAAGUCAUGACUGACGCUGAGGCACGAAAGCGUGGGGAUCAAACAGGAUUAGAUACCCGAGUAGUC
rnacentral:rRNA from 1 species